rnacentral:rRNA from 1 species
GACGAACGCUGGCGGCGCGCCUAACACAUGCAAGUCGAGCGAUGAAAGUUGUUCAGAUCCUUCGGGUGACGAACUUCCGGAUUAGCGGCGAACGGGUGAUUAACGCGUGAGGAACCUGCCUCUCACAACGGGAUAGCCUCGCGAAACCGGCAUUAAUACCGUAUGACACUAUCAGAUGGCAUCAUCAGGUAGUUAAAGUGCUAGCGGUGAGAGAUGGCCUCGCGUCUGAUUAGUUAGUUGGUGGGGUAACGGCCUACCAAGACGACGAUCAGUAACCGGCCUGAGAGGGUGGACGGUCACAUUGGAACUGAGACACGGUCCAAACUCCUACGGGAGGCAGCAGUGGGGAAUCUUGCACAAUGGGGGAAACCCUGAUGCAGCGACGCCGCGUGAGCGAUGAAGGUUUUCGAAUCGUAAAGCUCUGUCCUAUGGGAAGAUAAUGACGGUACCAUAGGAGGAAGCCCCGGCUAACUACGUG